AAACUAACAAGGAUUCCCCUAGUAACGGCGAGUGAAGCGGGAAGAGCUCAAAUUUGAAAGCUGGUACCUUUGGUGCCCGCGUUGUAAUCUCGAGACGCGUUUUCCGCGCGGCGCUAUGGACAAGUUCCUUGGAACAGGACAUCGUAGAGGGUGAAAAUCCCGUACUUGCCAUGGAUGCACCGUGCUUUGUGAUACGUGCUCAAAGAGUCGAGUUGUUUGGGAUUGCAGCUCAAAAUGGGUGGUAGACUCCAUCUAAAGCUAAAUAUCGGGGAGAGACCGAUAGCGAACAAGUACCGUGAGGGAAAGAUGAAAAGCACUUUGGAAAGAGAGUUAAAAGUACGUGAAAUUGUCGAAAGGGAAGCGCUUGAAGUCAGCCAUGCCGCUCAGGACUCAGCCUGGCUUUUGCUUGGUGUAUUUCCUGGGUAGCAAGUCAGCAUUGGUUUGGACCGUCGGAGAAGCAUGGCAGGAAUGUGACGCCCUCGGGCGUGUUAUAGCCUGCCAUUGGAUACGCCGGUCUAGACCAAGGAACGCAGUGCGCCUUACGGCGGGUCUUCGGACACCUUCGCACUUAG
rnacentral:rRNA from 1 species